GAUGAACGCUAGCUACAGGCUUAACACAUGCAAGUCGAGGGGCAGCAUGGUCUUAGCUUGCUAAGGCCGAUGGCGACCGGCGCACGGGUGAGUAACACGUAUCCAACCUGCCGUCUACUCUUGGACAGCCUUCUGAAAGGAAGAUUAAUACAAGAUGGCAUCAUGAGUCCGCAUGUUCACAUGAUUAAAGGUAUUCCGGUAGACGAUGGGGAUGCGUUCCAUUAGAUAGUAGGCGGGGUAACGGCCCACCUAGUCUUCGAUGGAUAGGGGUUCUGAGAGGAAGGUCCCCCACAUUGGAACUGAGACACGGUCCAAACUCCUACGGGAGGCAGCAGUGAGGAAUAUUGGUCAAUGGGCGCAGGCCUGAACCAGCCAAGUAGCGUGAAGGAUGACUGCCCUAUGGGUUGUAAACUUCUUUUAGAAAGGAAUAAAGUCGGGUAUGUAUACCCGUUUGCAUGUACUUUAUGAAUAAGGAUCGGCUAACUCCGUG
rnacentral:rRNA from 1 species